rnacentral:rRNA from 1 species
UACAGAGGUCUCAACCGUUGUUCGGAUUCAUUGGGCGUAAAGGGUGCGUAGGCGGCGGGGCAAGUCAGGUGUGAAAUCUCGGGGCUCAACCCCGAAACUGCACUUGAUACUGCCUUGCUCGAGUACUGGAGAGGAGACUGGAAUUUACGGUGUAGCAGUGAAAUGCGUAGAUAUCGUAAGGAAGACCAGUGGCGAAGGCGAGUCUCUGGACAGUUACUGACGCUGAGGCACGAAGGCCAGGGAAGAACGGAA